CCUGUCUCAAAACAAAAACAAAAACAAAAACAAGACAAAACAAAACAUAACAAAACAGAAGUUCUUUAGGAGAUGGCAGGACCAAUGACUUCCAGCCAAGUGAAGCUAAGAAUCAAAGUUCAGCAUUAUCUACACAUUUCUCCCACGCACAGCUCAAUGAUAAUGCUUUCAGAACUGUGGAUAUCAUAGCAGCCACUGUCUGUCAUUAGGUCUACUUGCUCAAAUCUUGUUUGAUAAAACAGCUGAUUACCCUUAUUCUGUCAGUUUCUUCAUCCCACCAUCCAGAGUUCCACAGUAAUACAAAGCGGCAUCAUUUUCAGUAAAUAUAGCCUUGGAUAAGGCUUGGUGAAGAGGCCAGAAAAAGUUCAGAUGAGUCCAGCUCGGUUUGAAGUUCUACAAUGCAAGUGGAGACUACCAUUUCAGAAGCACUUGAGGUAAAAGCAGCACACCUAAUAGAACAAUAUUCACAUUGGCAAGCCAUAGAGAAUGACGACAAAUACAUGGAAGUAGAACCAUCCCAGCCAUCAGAACUUGAAGCAGACAGCAAGGCUGCCCACUG
rnacentral:lncRNA from 1 species